GAUGAACGCUAGCGGCAGGCCUAAUACAUGCAAGUCGAACGAGAUUACGAGGCUUUCUUCUUUUGAAAGUGGCGCACGGGUGCGUAACGCGCAUGCAACCUACCUUACUCAGGGGGAUAGCCCGAAGAAAUUCGGCUUAAGACCGCAUAAAAACACAGUUUAACAUUAUCCAUUGUUCAAAAAUUUAUAGGUUUCAGAUGGGCAUACGUGUCAUUAGCUAGUUGGCGGGGUAACGGCACACCAAGGCGACGAUGACGAGGGGAUCUGAGAGGAUGACCCCCCACACUGGAACUGAGGCACAGACCAGUCUCGUACGCGAGGCAGCAGUAAGGAAUGCUAGGCAAUGGAGGGAACUGUGACACAGCCAUGCCGCGGACAGGAAGACAGCCCUCGGAAUAGUAAGCUGCUUUUAAACAAGAAUAGACCUAUCAACGUGUAGGAAGCUGAAGGUACCGAAGGAAUAAGGAUCGGCUAACUCCGUG
rnacentral:rRNA from 1 species